rnacentral:lncRNA from 1 species
CUUGCAUGCCUUUCUGAUGACCGCUAUCUUUGUGCUUUCUCCCGCUCUUAGAGUGUUUAAUUUAUUUAUUCAGUUUUUCGCCCUUCAUCCUCCAAUCUUUCAACCUAGUAGCUUCUGAUAAUAUCUCAGACUUUUAUUUUAAGUAGGAUCCAAGAUGGGAUAAAUUAUGCUUAAAUUUUUACAACAGUCUGUCUUUGUUUGAUUAGGUGUGUCUGAAGAUUUAGAUAGCUCCAUCUUGAGAGUUUCCAUCUUCUCUUGCAGACCCAUAGCAAU